GACGAACGCUGGCGGCGUGCUUAACACAUGCAAGUCGAACGAUGAAGCCGGAGCUUGCUCUGGUGAAUUAGUGGCGAACGGGUGAGUAACACGUGAGUAACCUGCCCUUGACUCUGGGAUAACUGCUAGAAAUGGUAGCUAAUACCGGACACGACCCUCGGCGGCAUCGCCAGGGGGUGGAAAGAAUUUCGGUCAAGGAUGGACUCGCGGCCUAUCAGCUAGUUAGUGAGGUAACGGCUCACCAAGGCGACGACGGGUAGCCGGCCUGAGAGGGUGACCGGCCACACUGGGACUGAGACACGGCCCAGACUCCUACGGGAGGCAGCAGUGGGGAAUAUUGCACAAUGGGCGCAAGCCUGAUGCAGCAACGCCGCGUGAGGGAUGACGGCCUUCGGGUUGUAAACCUCUUUUAGUAGGGAAGAAGCGAAAGUGACGGUACCUGCAGAAAAAGCACCGGCUAACUACGUGCCAGCAGCCGCGGUAAAAC
rnacentral:rRNA from 1 species